CAAUCUUUUAGUUCAGUAAUUUUCGUGUCUGCCCUUCUAUUAUGUGACUCAAGAAAAAAAUCCAAAAAAUGGGUAACAAUUGUAUCGAAAAGAGAAAAUCGAGUGCACCUUUUUAUGUUAGGGCGUGUUUUAGUUGAAUAUUUUGUCUUGAUAUCGUACAAAGCAAGAAUAUUUCAUACAUCGUCUCGCUUCAGAUUCUAUCAAUUUUAUAUAUCAAAGCUACAGGUUGACUUUAUAACAUAAAUAAAUCACAGUACUAAAAGAUGAAAUAUAUGGGUCAAGUGAAAUACCUAUCUAAUGAA
rnacentral:lncRNA from 1 species